CUAAACUUAGCUAACGGUUAACGUUAGCUGUCUCUUACCUGGAGACUCAAUCAGGUGGCUAAGAUUAACAAAAGAUUUUGGGAAACGACGCCUCUAGUCGUUCCGGGUGGGUUGU